UACGGAGGGAGCUAGCGUUGUUCGGAAUUACUGGGCGUAAAGCGCACGUAGGCGGAUUUGUAAGUCCGGGGUGAAAUCCCGGGGCUCAACCUCGGAACUGCCUUUGAUACUGCAAAUCUCGAGUCCGGAAGAGGUGAGUGGAAUUCCUAGUGUAGAGGUGAAAUUCGUAGAUAUUAGGAAGAACACCAGUGGCGAAGGCGGCUCACUGGUCCGGUACUGACGCUGAGGUGCGAAAGCGUGGGGAGCAAACAGG
rnacentral:rRNA from 1 species